rnacentral:lncRNA from 13 species
GUAACAUGCACAUGGGAGUACUCUAUAAGGAGCAGCUCUCUGAACAGCCAGGGAAGCUUACAAAUCUACAGAAAGUUUGAAGAAGAAAGUGAAAAAACUUCCUAACCCCAUCACCUCAAGAUAUUCACUGUGGAUGUGCUGGUGGACUCCUGAUUGACAUACCGGCUUCUCCAUGCCUGGGAGAACAGAAUGUCUUUUUGUGAUUGUGCUGUGAAAGUCCAACAUGAAAUCAAGGCUGUUGGAUCACAUGGGCUCUCAGACAAUCUCAUCAGAAAAGCGACCACUCUGUAAUGCCACGACCAUGCUCAGAUGUGCUGCUAUAGCUGAAAUCAUUUCUGCAGCAACCUCUCAGAAAUACCUUGAAGAAGAAGCCUGGAUGGUUCCUUUGAACAUUCUCAAAGGUAAGAAAGCUGUUUCUUUGAGCUCAGAUUUGUUUUGGGGGUGGUGGUGGUCAGUCAAUCACCAUUUGGAAACUGCUCCAGCUCAAACAAUUUCAAAGCUGUAGUGCCAGAACCACCCUCACCUCCACCUUUGCCUUGGCCCCCCUAGCCCUACACCCA